CCGCCGUCACCAUGGUGAAGUUUCUUAAACCCAACAAGGCCGUCAUCGUCCUCCAAGGCAGAUAUGCCGGACGCAAAGCCGUGAUCGUGAAAUCCUUCGACGACGGCACACGUGAACGCGCAUACGGCCACUGUUUGGUUGCAGGGGUAAAGAAGUACCCAAGCAAGGUUAUUCGAAAGGACUCCGCCAAGAAAACAGCCAAGAAGUCACGCGUCAAGUGCUUCAUCAAGCUCGUGAAUUACCAGCAUCUGAUGCCCACGCGUUAC
rnacentral:lncRNA from 1 species